CACCUGAAAUGGAAAGUGCUCUAAACGAUAUCCACGG
rnacentral:sRNA from 1 species